GAUGAACGCUGGCGGCGUGCCUAAUACAUGCAAGUCGAGCGAACAGACGAGGAGCUUGCUCCCCUGACGUUAGCGGCGGACGGGUGAGUAACACGUGGAUAACCUACCUAUAAGACUGGGAUAACUUCGGGAAACCGGAGCUAAUACCGGAUAUUAUAUUGAACCGCAUGGUUCAAUAGUGUAAGACGGUUUUGUUGUCACUUAUAGAUGGAUCCGCGCCGCAUUAGCUAGUUGGUAAGGUAACGGCUUACCAAGGCAACGAUGCGUAGCCGACCUGAGAGGGUGAUCGGCCACACUGGAACUGAGACACGGUCCAGACUCCUACGGGAGGCAGCAGUAGGGAAUCUUCCGCAAUGGGCGAAAGCCUGACGGAGCAACGCCGCGUGAGUGAUGAAGGUCUUCGGAUCGUAAAACUCUGUUAUUAGGGAAGAACAAAUGUGUAAGUAACUAUGCACGUCUUGACGGUACCUAAUCAGAAAGCCACGGCUAACUACGUG
rnacentral:rRNA from 1 species